rnacentral:tRNA from 1 species
GCGGGCGUAGUUUAGUGGCAAAACUUUAGCCUUCCAAGCUAAUAAUGCGGGUUCGAUUCCCGCCGCCCGCU